rnacentral:piRNA from 1 species
UGUGACACGAACUGGUGGGCGAG